UGUAGAGAAUCUGCCCUGUACUGGGGGACAACAGAGGGAAACUUCUGCUAAUACCCCAUAUGAGCGUAGCUGCGAUGGUAUUCUUGAAAGUUCCGGCGGUACAGGAUGAGUCUGCAUCUGAUUAGCUAGUUGGUGGUGUAAUGGACUACCAAGGCGACGAUCAGUAGCUGGUUUGAGAGGAUGAUCAGCCACAAUGGGACUGAGACACGGCCCAUACUCCUACGGAAGGCAGCAG
rnacentral:rRNA from 1 species